CGAUGGCAAUACGAGAGUCUCCGUCACCCUGGAUGUGGAAACAGCGCAUCCGCAGCUCGAGGUGUCUGAGGAUUGGAAGAUGGUGAGACGGACCUGGACCGAGAGGAG